rnacentral:lncRNA from 1 species
GGCUGAGGAACGCAAGUCUGCAUUUUGGGGAAUUUUAUCAUUUUCAGUAAUUUUUUGUAGCCCAAACAUGAAUUUAAAGUGGUUAUUACUCACUAACCAUUUGCUUCUGCAGCAUUUUGGAAAAUCACACAAUCACAACCAGUAACUAAUGAAGUAAAAGGCUACUACAAUGUUGUUAGGCCAUGUCAUUUCUUAAGAACUUUGCAUCACCUAUGCUAUACUAAAACAUGUCCUAAUUUGAAGAUGACACCACAUGCCGCAUGACCUUCAGCUGUCCAACACGACUGUUUAGUGUUGGUUUGUUCCUCACCAACCUGUUCAUGGGAAUGGUGUCCUGUAACUUCUUUUGAAAGGAAACUGGAAAAACUGGGCCUACCGGCCAAGAUCUGAACACAGUUCUGGAUCGGUCCAUCUGUUUCCCUCGCCUGCCUAAUGCGUGGAUUUGGUGUCGUUGACACGCCGCGACAAUGACAUUCCUUUUAGCAGCCCAGACCUGAUCAGAUGACAGAUAACCUCCUUUAUCCAGAAACUAGGCGUCGCCUGCAAAUGCAUCGCAGGUGGUAGGCAGAAGGUCCCACGGGCGGACGAGGUGGCAGAAGAAUAAUAAUAAGAAGAGGAGCUCCGUGGGAAGACUGCUGUGAGGAAGAAGCAUUUGUCCAUACUUCCAGACAAGAUGGUGCAUCCUCAGGUGACGGCACUGCAGGUGUUGUUCAUUAUAUGUGAACACGCCCACGGUUACGUUGAGAAGAUCAAGGGCAUGCUGGGGAGAAAGGUCCAGCUGAUG